GGGGAAUAUUGCACAAUGGGCGAAAGCCUGAUGCAGCAACGCCGCGUGAGUGAUGAAGGCCUUCGGGUUGUAAAGCUCUGUCUUCUGGGACGAUAAUGACGGUACCAGAGGAGGAAGCCACGGCUAACUACGUGCCAGCAGCCGCGGUAAUACGUAGGUGGCAAGCGUUGUCCGGAUUUACUGGGCGUAAAGGAUGCGUAGGCGGAUACUUAAGUCAGACGUGAAAAUCCCGGGCUUAACUUGGGAACUGCAUUUGAAACUGGGUAUCUAGAGUGCGGGAGAGGAAAGUGGAAUUCCUAGUGUAGCGGUGAAAUGCGUAGAGAUUAGGAAGAACGCCAGUGGCGAAGGCGACUUUCUGGACCGUAACUGACGCUGAGGCAUGAAAGCGUGGGGAGCAAAC
rnacentral:rRNA from 1 species